rnacentral:rRNA from 1 species
GACGAACGCUGGCGGCGUGCCUAAUACAUGCAAGUUGAGCGCUGAAGGUUGGUACUUGUACCAACUGGAUGAGCAGCGAACGGGUGAGUAACGCGUGGGGAAUCUGCCUUUGAGCGGGGGACAACAUUUGGAAACGAAUGCUAAUACCGCAUAAAAACUUUAAACACAAGUUUUAAGUUUGAAAGAUGCAAUUGCAUCACUCAAAGAUGAUCCCGCGUUGUAUUAGCUAGUUGGUGAGGUAAAGGCUCACCAAGGCGAUGAUACAUAGCCGACCUGAGAGGGUCAUCGGCCACAUUGGGACUGAGACACGGCCCAAACUCCUGCGGGAGGCAGCAGUAGGGAAUCUUCGGCAAUGGACGAAAGUCUGACCGAGCAACGCCGCGUGAGUGCAGAAGGGUUUCGGAUCGUAAAACUCGGUUGGUAGAGAAGAACGUUGGUGAGAGUGGAAAGCUCAUCAAGUGACGGUAACUACCCAGAAAGGGACGGCUAACUACGUG